UAAGUAGAUUGCCUUAUCGCUCUUGUGCUGAACUUGUUCAGCGCUGGGGAGGAAAGUCCGAACACCGUAGUGCAAUAUAGUGGUUAAUUACCACCAGCCGUAAGGCUAGGAAAAGUGCAACAGAAAGUAUGUACAGGUUAUGCUGUAGUGAAAUCAGGUAAACUCUAUGUGGUGCAAUGUCAUGUAUACCAGUGUUUGAGGGCUGCACGCUCGAUGCUGGAGGGUAGACAGCUAAAGUGUAUUGGUAACAAUGCACUCAGAUAAAUGAUAAGGUAUUUUUCUACUAGUUUUUGGAGUUCCAAAAACUAGUAGAAAAUGAACAGAAUUCGGCUUAUAGAUUUACUUGAAUA
rnacentral:RNase_P_RNA from 1 species